AUUACAAAAUAUAUAUAAUAAUAACAGCACAAAAGCAAUGAAUUUAUUGAAUCUCAUGUAAUUCCGCACAUUUUGGUUAAAUACACGACACUGUAGGUCUAAGGAGAGGCGUCGGCGAAUUUGCAAAUGAGUGUUUUGCAAAUUAAAAAUGUCCAGUGUUUUAAGUUUGCCUCAACCAAAUGUUAUGAAACUUAUACACAAUGCUUAUUACCACAAAACUCAGAUCAAGUACAAAUUUGGGUAGUGUCACUUUUACCUUUCUUUAUUUAUGGGGCAUCAUCUGUGUCCCAUGGACACAUUCCCCAUUUAUUUAUUUCAUAUUCCGAUGUAACUCGAAUCAAAGUACAAAUGUGCCAAAAUUCUAGAAAUCGGGAGAUAUGCCAUUUGGUAUAUUGUUACCUUAAGUGGAAAUAAGAAAAAAAAAUCAAAAAAACUCUAAAUGGCCGGGGGGAAAAAAGGUCCAUGCUCCAAACGCAUAUGGUUUCAUUACGGAUGAAAUAUUGUCGACAGGAUAAAGGCGCUUAUAAUUGAUGCUAGCGAAGGCAAGACAACAAAUAUACCAAGCUCAGAUAAUAUGUCAAAGAUAAAGGAUUCCAGUUAAUAACUUGUGCCGUUUUUGAUUUGGAGACCGAGCUGUGUGUACUUGUGAAGGAAGAUAUAUUUUUUUAAUUAUAUAUAUAAAUACCUAUAUGGUUUAAAUACUUAUGUUGUCCAGCCCGUUAAUAACCAAACGAGUAAAUACUCAUAAUGGUCCGACCAUACAUGUUUGGUACAUGUAUGGUCGGACCAUGUAAGUAUAUCCAAAUGGUCAUGACCAUACGAGUACAAAUGUACAAAUGUAUGGUCCAAAUACUCAUAUGAUCUGGAACAGAUACAUAUUGUUACCGGGACUUUCUCGUCCUUAAUUAGACCAAUUGCUCAGGUUUACUUAUUAAUUAAUUUUAUACCGAUAUGACAUAUCCGUGUAUAUGUUUUAUAUUAAAGGAGAUAACACAGGCUAUAUUACUUAAAUUACACACCUAAAUUUGUUCAUAUCGGUAUAGUAAUUGUUAAAUUAAAUAAAAAUUCAAAAUAGUAAGUCCUAUGUGGAUACGAUACAGAAAAUUAAAACUACUCACUAAUAAAUGUAUUAUCAAUAUGUAAUUGUUAAAUGCCAUAUAAUUACAAAACAACCGAUUGAAUACGAGAUAAUAUGUAUACACACUAUCUGAUGUAGGCAUAGGUUUUGAUUAAUUACAGAAAUGUCUUUUCAGAAUGAGACAAAAGACAAAUGAGUGUGCUUUUACCGUAAUAACAUACACAUUUUUGUUUCGUUUUUAGAGAAAUCAAAAGGGAGAGAUCAGCUGGUUCAUCUUCUUGUUAGGCAUGGUUCAAAGCUGAAUGUUUUAUCUACAAGUGGCGAGAAGGCGAUAGACAUAUUACUAAAGAAGAUACUUACAGAAAAUGGUACAAUUGAGGACGAUGAAAGUCAUGGAUGUUCACGACUAGAAUAUGAUAUGAAGUUAUUCAACUAUCUUGUUAGAGCCGGAUGUUAUCUCCUUCCUUCCAUAAUGUCCAAAACACAGAUACCACAUGCUCAAGGAAGAGCCAAGACUGAUACCUACCGAUCGAUACUUCUAACUCUCAUCAAUAUUGGACUAUUCAAAACAGCAGAAUAUCUUAUUCAAAGUGGAUGGGACAUCGAACAGGAAGUUUGGUUCGACAAUUUCGAUGUAUCAUCACUGGAAUUAUCAGAUGUUGAGAUCAAGUAUAAUAAAAGAAAGCAAAGACACGUGGAAAUAAGGAAAUCUGAAUUUAAAGCAUUCCUCGAUGGUUUGGAUAAAGGUCCGAAGCCUUUAUCAAUCAUAUGCAGAAAAAGUAUAAGGCAGCAACUCUUGGUAGCAGCAGAGGAUUCCGAGAUUGAAUCAAGAGUAAAUUUGCGUCCGAUUCCAGCAAAAAUGAAAUGUUUCCUUGGUCUGAUGAAUUUUGCGCAAGACAAAGAAGUAAUUCAAUUGGAAUUAAAUAGAAGUGUGAGGCAACAUACGUCCGUAAGCAGUGAUUUGGUUCAGGCAUUUCUGCUUUCACGAAUUCAAUCCAGACAGGGACACAGUUUAUUUAGAUACUAUGAUUCGGAUGACGAUGACGAUGAUUAUUUGAUUUUUGACGAUUAUUAUGAUAAUUGGUGAUACUAUAUUCAACAGUUGACUUAAAAAAAAUACACUUUUAUAUUUGAUGAAUUACACAUUAAAAUAGUACGUUUAGAAGAAAUUUUUUGUUUUCGAUUCCGUAUGUUUGCUUAGAUCUAUUAAUUUCAUGUGAUUGGAGGUUCCAUAAAGGGUACCUUUCUUACAUACAUUUUUUGUAUAUGUAGAAUGUAAAGUAAAUAAUAUAUUCAUGGCGACAGUUACACCAUCAGAACAUAGCACAUAAUGUCGUCGAUCUGUUGUAAAAGGUAUUGACAUAUUCGUUUAAAUGAAACUACAUUCAUGUGCAUGGAAUAUGUAAGCACAUGUUUUCGAUUGUUGCAAAUCAAAUAUUGACAUAUAACACGAUGACAAGAAAAUUAUUCUCAAACAUCAUGUGCAUAUUUAGUAUGGGACUAUUUUU